AGGUCAAUGUUCUUCCUGUUUAAAGCUUUUAACUAACAUUGAUUAUCAGCUGUUUUGUACGGAAAACGUGGAAUCUAAAUAAUAUACCGUUUCCCUGCUCUGCUGCUAUUGGCAAUACAUUUUUGUCAUGUCAUCUGCAACAGACGAUCAUACAUAUGUGGCGGAUUAUCGAUAUAGGUACCGCUAGGUAGCAAUAGCAGUGGAAGCCCGGAUUUGCAAGCCAAAAUGAGGGAAAGACAGAAUUCUGAAAAGGAGCAUGUUUUUCAUUUCCACACAUGCAUGUGUAUCACUAUGGACAUCUAAUGUUUUUGUGGGAUUUUGUCCAGCAGUUUGCCUUAAAAGAAUUUUUUUAUAUUUUAGUUUCAUAUUUAUGUGGAUUCCAAUAAAAAUCAUACAAACUUCA